rnacentral:rRNA from 1 species
CUCAUGGAUGGGCCUGCGGUGUAUUAGCUAGUAGGUGAGGUAACGGCUCACCUAGGCGACGAUACAUAGCCGACCUGAGAGGGUGAUCGGCCACACUGGGACUGAGACACGGCCCAGACUCCUACGGGAGGCAGAAGUAGGGAAUCUUCGGCAAUGGGGGCAACCCUGACCGAGCAACGCCGCGUGAGUGAAGAAGGUUUUCGGAUCGUAAAGCUCUGUUGUAAGUCAAGAACGAGUGUGAGAGUGGAA